rnacentral:RNase_P_RNA from 1 species
GCAGCAGACCGGUCUGUCGCUCAUCUUGUAUGGGAGGAAAGUCCGGGCAACACAGAGCACCAUACUUCCUAACGGGAAGCUGUUUGCAAAAACAGAGUAACGGAACAGAAAAUAACCGCCCAAUAUUGUUAUAGUAUUGGGUAAGGGUGAAAAGGUGAGGUAAGAGCUCACCGGGUCGUAUAGUAAUAUAUGAUGCCGUGCGUCUUAUGGGUUGCAAGGUCAUGUAUACCGGUAUUUAAGGAUUGCUCGUCCGAUGCCGGGGGGUAGACCGCUAGAGCCUGAUGGUGACAUCAGGUCGAGAUAAAUGGCAGACAUCAAUACCCACAAGGUAUGGAUACAGAACCCGGCUUAUAGGUCGGCUGCGUUA